rnacentral:rRNA from 1 species
GACGAACGCUGGCGGCGUGCUUAACACAUGCAAGUCGAACGGAAAGGCCCUGCUUUUGUGGGGUGCUCGAGUGGCGAACGGGUGAGUAACACGUGAGUAACCUGCCCUUGACUUUGGGAUAACUUCAGGAAACUGGGGCUAAUACCGGAUAGGAGCUCCUGCUGCAUGGUGGGGGUUGGAAAGUUUCGGCGGUUGGGGAUGGACUCGCGGCUUAUCAGCUUGUUGGUGGGGUAGUGGCUUACCAAGGCUUUGACGGGUAGCCGGCCUUAGAGGGUGACCGGCCACAUUGGGACUGAGAUACGGCCCAGACUCCUACGGGAGGCAGCAGUGGGGAAUAUUGCACAAUGGGCGGACGCCUGAUGCAGCAACGCCGCGUGCGGGAUGACGGCCUUCGGGUUGUAAACCGCUUUCGCCUGUGACGAAGCGUGAGUGACGGUAAUGGGUAAAGAAGCACCGGCUAACUACGUG